CCUGAUGGAACCUCAGGCCAAGUGGCUCUCAGGAGCUGGAGAGAGCAGUUUUCUUCUCUCCCCCAAGUAUAGCAUUUGGGACAGUGAGCAAAUAGUGUCAUGUGAUUAAGUGAUACUAUAACACUGAAAACUUGCCCUAAUGGCUUCAGUGUCAUUUACUCAUACAUCGCAAGCACUGCUAUGGCCACUAUGAAACGCCACUAUCUUGGGGGCAUCAACUGUUUAUUUUUUAUUUUAUUUUAUUUUAUUUUAUUAUUUUAUUUUUCGCAUCAACUGUUAAAAAAAAAAAGAGGAUGGUGUUCAACUCAGAGGAGUCUUUGAUGGACUUUCAGGCACUACGACAGAGUGAAGAAUCCCAGUUAAGAUUCCACCCACAGCAAAUUCAAUGGCACAGUCAAGGCUAAGAAUGAGAAACCUGGCAUCAGUGGAAAGCCCACCUCCAUCCUUCAGGAGCAAGAUCCGACCAACAUCAAAUGGGGUGAUGCUGGUCCUGGGUGCCUUGUGGAGUCCACUGGAGUCUUCACCACUGUGGAGAAGGCUGGGGCUCACUUGAAGGGGUAGGGCCAAGAGGGUCAUCAUGUCUGGCCCUUCUGCUAAUACUUCCAUGUUUGUGAUGAGCAUGUACUACGAGAAGUAUGACAACUCCCUCGAGAUUAUCAGUAAUGCCUCCUGCACCACCAGCUGCUUGGUUCCUCUGGCCAAGGUCAUCUGUGACAACCACGGCAUGGUGGAGGGACUGAGGACCAUAUUCCAAAUCUUACUGCCACCCUCCCCCUCCCCACCAAAGCGAUGGUAUGGUAGUUGAGGGGCUGCCCGGAACAUUAUCCCUCCUUCUACUGGUACUGCCAAGGCAAGGUCAUCUCCGAGGUGAAUGGGAAGCUCACUGGCAUGGCCUUCCAUGUUCCCAUCCCCAGUGUGUCAGUUGUGGAUCUGACCUGCCACUUGGAGAAAGCUGCUAAAUACAAUGUCAAGAAGAUGGUGAAACAGGCAUUAGAGGGCCCCUCGGGGCAUGGUGGGAUCCACUGAGGACCAGGUUGUCUCCUGCAACUUUAACAGAGACACCCACUCUGCCAACUUCAAUGCCAGGGCUGGCACUGCCAUCAAUGACCACUGUGUCAGGCUCCAUUUCUAGUAUGACAAUGAAUUUGGCUAUCGCAACCGAGUGGUGGACUUUAUGGUCCAUAUGGUUUCCAAGGAGUAAGAGCCCCUGGACCACCACCCCCAGCAAGAGGAAGAGAGAAGCCCUCAGCUGCUGGGAAGUCCUUACCCCAACUCAUCCCCCAACACACUGAGAAUCUCUUGGUCUCCACAGUUUCUAUCUCAGACCUCCUGAAGAAGUGGAGGGGCUCGGGAAGCCCAAACUUGUCACAUACCAUCAAUAAAGUAUAACUGUACCCAGCCAGAAAAAAAAAUCAUAGGAAUAAAAUGAGUAUGUUUGAAUGUGUUUGUAUGUCAUGAGACCUGAAAUCAUAAAACUCCUAGAAUGGAACACA